rnacentral:tRNA from 1 species
UCCCUUGUAGCUCAGUUGGCAAAGAAUCUGCCUGCAAAGCAGGAGAUACAGGUUCAAUUCCUGGGUUGGGAA